rnacentral:rRNA from 1 species
GAUGAACGCUGGCGGCGUGCCUAAUACAUGCAAGUCGAGCGAACAGACGAGGAGCUUGCUCCUCUGACGUUAGCGGCGGACGGGUGAGUAACACGUGGAUAACCUACCUAUAAGACUGGGAUAACUUCGGGAAACCGGAGCUAAUACCGGAUAAUAUAUUGAACCGCAUGGUUCAAUAGUGAAAGACGGUUUUGCUGUCACUUAUAGAUGGAUCCGCGCCGCAUUAGCUAGUUGGUAAGGUAACGGCUUACCAAGGCAACGAUGCGUAGCCGACCUGAGAGGGUGAUCGGCCACACUGGAACUGAGACACGGUCCAGACUCCUACGGGAGGCAGCAGUAGGGAAUCUUCCGCAAUGGGCGAAAGCCUGGCGGAGCAACGCCGCGUGAAUGAUGAAGGUCUUCGGAUCGUAAAACUCUGUUAUUAGGGAAGAACAAAUGUGUAAGUAACUAUGCACGUCUUGACGGUACCUAAUCAGAAAGCCACGGCUAACUACGUG